rnacentral:lncRNA from 1 species
GGAGGAGCUAUGCGGGGUCUCAGCUUUUUGUGCUGGCUGCCUUCAGUCUCAGUGCUGCUCAGCUGACUGCACGGAGACUCUUGAGCAGAGACUUCCAGUUUUGGAUGCUUAGCUUCCAGCUGUGCGCCGCAGCCCUGUCAAUAAACAUUCAACCUUGAGAACGAGCGUUCCUUCCCUGCUGAUCUCCUGGGAAGGCUGGAGGUGAUGGAUGUCAGUGGGAGACGCACCACAAUUGCUGGGAGCCCGGAGCCAGGCGCUGACCACUGUAAGCGAUACCUCCCACUGCUGCCCUGCGUGGGACCACCAGCAAAGCGGCCCCAGAAACCAAGCCCCAACCAGUACCAAACAGAACAAGGGGCGAUGCACCAUGUGCAGCCACGGGGACCCAUUUGCUGUUGUGUGGAUGCACACACGCUUUGUGACCACUUGCACUGUGUGCUGCCAAAUGCUUGCGGGGAUGCUACGCUACAUCUGCACUGAUCCAGUAGCACCCAGGUGCUGGUGGCUGCACAGACAUGGGGAGAGGCUGAGCCCCACCAGGUGAGUGCGAG